rnacentral:lncRNA from 1 species
GCGAGAUGAGGAAAUCCUGACGCUGGCUUUGUCUUCCUGACCCGGGAGGUGAAAAGUUUUUGUUUCCCGUUUCCAUAAAGGAUAGUUACUUAGAAGUUGCCAUUGUUACCGAAACGCCAGGUUAUAUAGUCCUCUGCUUUUAAACCUUUAGGUAAAUAUACAUGGAACUAACUGAUUUUUUUGGUCCAUUAAUGAUCUGGGACUUACGUUUUCCGCUGCAGUUGCUGUUCCUCAAGCGUAGUUGUCAGUGAUUUGCGGUUUUUAAAUUUUGUUUUGUUUUGGGUUUUUUUUUGGCGGGGUCGGGGCCGGAGGGGGGGUUUAAUCUCUUAAGAGUAUUUAUACUCAUUACUGAAAACCUAGCCAAAAGACUAAACACAAGACUAAAAAAAAGUAAAGGACGUUAGCCGGAAGAGUAUGGGAGACCCACUUAACGAGUACGUCUGAACAUUUCCCGUGUUGCAGACUCACCCACAGUUUGCUGUACGUGUUUGGCCGCAGCUGGAUUUCGUUGACUCUUGAAAGCAGAUGUCUGCCUCUUACCUCCCUGCUGUACCUUUUGUUGAGGGUGCAAUUAUAGAAAUAAUAGAACUAACCCUUGUAAAGUGGGAUUAAAAAUAUUUAGGAAUACAUUUAGUUCUAGUCAAGUGCUUAUUAAAUGCCAUUAAAUUUAUUUUCUGUUUCCCCUCUGAUAUGAAACAAAAGGGAGGUUUUACUUAGUAGUGGACCAUUGGGAAGGUAUGUUGUGGCAAUUGCUGCCAGGAAAAACGGUAUCAAAAUGUAUUCCCCAGACUAAGUUGGGGAAUAAGGUGCCACAGUAGGGAUCUACGGAAGCUUCAUGAAAUCCUUACAUACUAUUCUGGGAGAAAUAGUUUAAUUAGUAAGAGCAAACAUUGCUAUUAUGAUUAGGGUUGGAGUGACCAAUUUAUAGGAAAUGAAUUUUAAUUAGAACUAAAGUUUCUGAGGCUCACCUUUCACCCUACAUUUUUCUCACUUCAUUUUACUUUACUCCAUAUCACUAAUGAAUGAAAAGUACUAUUCUGUAACAAGGCUUAAAUACCAAAUCACAGUGGAGAGUUUUGCUAAAUUAGAUUUCAUUUAGAACCUGUAGCCAUCUGUGUUAACUUUGCAAACGCUGUCCUAAGAAAAUGCCACCGAUUGGGUGGUUUAAGCAACAGAAAUUUAUUUUCUCACAAUUCUGGAGACAAACUCUGAGAUCAGGGCACUCACCGGUUUAUUUUUAGACCUUCUGUGGCCUGUAGAUGGCCCUCCUUUCCCAGUAACUUCACAUCCUUUAACCUCUGUACCUGUCUGUAUCCCAAUCUCUUUGAAAAGGACACCAGUCAUACUGGAUUAGGGCCUGUGCUAAUGACCAAAUUUAACCUUACUUGCCACUUUAAAGAUCCUAUCUCCAAAUACUGUAAUAUUCUGAGAUAUUGGCUGUUAGGAUUUCAACAUAUGAAUUUUGGGUGACACAAUCCAGCCCAUAUGACCAUCCAUUUAUGGUAAGCUAUAAAGACACACUGAAGAUUUUUAAAUAUAUAUUUCCAUUGGGCUAAGGUGUAAAAACACCUGAGACAGAGUGAAGAGUCUCUGCUCCCAUAUUUUAGGUUCUUUUCUCCAUCUUAAAUUUUUUCCUAUCUAUUUCCCAUCUUUUUCUUCCUUUCUUUAAAAUUGAGGUAUAAUUAACAUUAGCUUCAGGUAUACAACAUAAUGAUUUGAUAUUUGUGUAUGUUGCUAAAUGAUCACCACAUUAAGUCUAAUUAACCCCUAUCCCCCAUACAUAGUGAAUUAAGUUUUUUCUUGUGCUGAAGAUUUUUAAGAUUUACUGUCUUAGGGGAGCCUGGCUGGCUCAUUUGGUGAAAUAUGGGACUCUUGAUCUCAGGGUUUUAAGUUCAAGCCCCAUGUUGGUAUAGAGAUUACUUCAAAAUAUUAAAAGAAAAAAAUAUGUAGCAACUUUAAAAUAUGUAAAAGUAUUAUUGACUGUACUCACCAUGCUGUACAUUACAUUCUCUUGACUUAUUUAUUUUAUAACUAGUAUUUUGUGUCUUUUGCCCCAUUUUAGCUACCCCUUCAACCCACUGCCUCUGGCAAGCACCAGUCCGUUUUCUGUAUCAAUUAACUUGGUGUUUUUUGUUUUUGUUUUUAUAUUCCAUAUAUAAGUGAGAUCAUAUAGUAUUUGUCUUUUUCUGACUCAUUUCACUUAACGUAAUGUCUUCAGGGUCCAUCCAUUAUGUCGCAAAUGGCAAGAUGUCAUUUGUUUUCAUGGAUGAGUAGUAUUCCAUUGUGUAUGUACAUCGACAUCUUUAUCCAUUCAUCCAUUGAUGAAUACUUAAGUUGUUUCCAUAUCUUGGCUGAAAAUAAUGCUGUAAUGAACAUGGGGGUACUUAAAUCUUUUUGAAUUAGUGUUUUUGUUUUCUUAAGAUAAAUACCCAGAAGUAGAACUGCCAGAUCAUAUGGUAAUUCAAUUUUUAGUUUUUUGACCAACCUCCAUACUGUUUUCUACAGCGGAUAGACCAAUUUACAUUCUCAUUAACAGUGCACAAGGGUUUUCUCUCAUUAACAGUGCAAAAGGGUUUUCUUUUCUCCACAUCCUUGCCAACACUUGUUAUUUCUUAUUUAUUUGAUACUAGACAUUCUGACUGGCAUGAGAUGAUACCUCAUUGUGAUUUUGAUUAGCAUUUCUCUGAUGAUUAGUGAUGUUGAGGAUCUUUUCAUGUGUCUGUUGGCCAUCUGUAUGUCUUCAUUGGAAAAAUGUCUAUUCACAUACUCUGCCCAUUUUUUAAAUUGGGUUGUUUAGUGUUUUGCUGUUGAGUUGUAUGAGUUCUUUAUGUAUUUUGGAUAUUGACCUAUUAUUAGAACAUGAUUUACAAAUAUUUUUCUCCUGUUCAGUUCAUUUUGUUGAAAAUUUCCUUUGCUGUGAAGAAGCUUUUUAGUUUGAUGUAGUUUGAGUUCAUUUUUUGUGUAUGGUGUAAGAUAGUAGUCCAGUGUCAUUCUUUUGCAUGUGGCUGUCCAGUUUUCCCAGCACCAUUUCUUGAAGAGUCUGUCCUCUCCCCAUUGUAUAUUCUUGGCUCCUUUGUUGUAAAUUAAUUGACCAUAUAGGCAUGGGUUUAUUUCUGGGCUCACUAUUCUGUACCAUUGAUCAAUGUGUCUGUUUUUAUGCCAGUAUCAAACUGUUUUAAGUAUCAUACAAUAUCAUAACUUUGUGGGGCACCUGGGUGGCUCAGUCGGUUAGGCAUCCGAUUUUUUAUUUCAGCUCAAGUCAUGAUCUCAAGUUCAUGAGAUUGAGCCCCACGUUGGGGCUUGGGAUUCUCUUUCUCUCUCUCUCUGCCCUUCCCCUGCUUGCUAUCUCUCUUUCUCUCUCUCUCAAAUAAACUCUAAAAACAUAAUUACUAUCGCUUCAUAAUAUAGUUAUCAACCAGGAAGCACGAUAACUCCAGCUUUGUUUUUCUUUCUCUCGUUUUUUUUUAAAGUUUAUUUAUUUAUUUUGAGAGUGAGUAUGGGAGGGGUAGGGGGAGAGGGAGAGAGAGAGGGAGAAUCCUAAGCAGGCUCCUCACUGUCAGCCCAGAGCCUGAUCCACAAACUGAGAUAAUGACCUGAGUUGGACACGUAAGUGACUGAGCCAUCUUGGUGCCCCUACGUUCUUCUGUCUCAAUAUUGCUUUGGCUGUUUGGGGUCUUUUGUUGUUUUGUACAAAUUUUAGUAUUGUUUGCUUUAUUUCUGUGAAAAAUGCCAUUGGAAUUUGACAGGGGUUGUUUUGAAUCUGUAGAUUGCUUUGCAUAGUAUGGACAUUUAAACAAUAUUCUUCCAGGUGAUGAGCACAGAAUAUUUGUCCACUGUUUAUAUAAUGAAAAAAUAUUAAUCUUCAAUUUCUUUCAUCAUUGUUUUAUACUUUUCAGUAUACAAGUUUUUCACCUUCCUCAUUAAAAUUUGUUUCUAAGUAUUUUUUUUAUUCCAAUUGUAAAUGGAAUUGUUUUCUUAAUUUCUCUUUCUGAUAGUUCAUUAUUAAUGAAUAGAAGUGCAUUAGAGUUCAUAUAGUGGUUUUGUAUCCUGCUACUUUACUGAAAUUUAUUCAUUCUAACAGUUUUUGGUGGAGUCACUUGGUUUUCUAUAUGUAAUAGCGUGUCAUAUGCAAAUAGUCACAGUUUUACUUUUUCCUUUCCAGUUUGGAUGCCUUUUACUUCUUUUUCUUACCUAAUUGCUUUGGCUAACACUUCCAGUACUGUGUUGAAUAAACGUGGUAAGAGCAUCCUUUCUUGUUCCUGAUCUUAGAGGAAGAGCUUUUACCUUUUUACCGUUGAAUAUGAUAUUAGCUGUGGGUCUGUCAUGUAUGACCUUUACUAUGUUGAAGUAUGUUUCUUCUAUACCUACUUCCCACUUUGUUCAGUUUGUAAUGAUAAAUGAAUGUUGAAUUUGCAUAAAUCUUCAUGUGUCAGAAUACUACUCAGCUUUGAAUGCUUUGCUUGAAUGUCACUUGUUAUGUGAAAUUUUUCAUUACUCUAACUGAAUUUGAUUUCCCUUUUUGACAUAACUAUAGUACUUGGAUUUUUCAUGUGGUAUCUUUAUUAUAUUAUAAGCUUCUUGUGAAGGGACUGCGUCACCUCUCAUUUGAAGUGCCUAUCAGAGUGACUCAUAUUAAACACUCAGUUGGAUUAUUGAAUGCUUUGAGGCAGUUAAUAUAUAUUUUAUAGGAAUUGAGAAAGUUUUGUAUUUAUCUUAAAAAGUGAUUUUUCUCCAGGAGGUAGAGUUUGAUCCCCCCCACUCUCCCCCAACACCAAGAUGAGUAUUGGCUGUACUUAGUGACUUGCUUUCAAAGGGUGGGUAAGGAAAGAAGGGGAGAGUAUAACUGUACAGUGGAGAAAUAUAGCAAACACUGCCUGGACGAAGUGAUCAAUAGUAACGUGAGCAAGAAGUCAUAUUGAUAAUGUGUACCUUGAUAAGAUGUAAUGAAAACAUUUCACCUCCUUUGUGUUAUUCUUAUCCAAAGCCCUAACCCUAGUCAAACCAUGAGAAGAAAUAUCAACAAAAUCAAGUUGAUGGACAAUCUACAAAUUAUAUAUCAGUAUUUAAUAUUGUCAUGAUCUUGAAAAACAAGAAAAGUCUGUGAAACUGUCACACCAGAGGAGAUGAUACAUGAUGACUAAAUGUGAUACCCUGUCUGGGAACCUCAAGCAGAAAAAGGACAUUAAUGUCAAACUAGUGAAAUCUGAAUAAAGUGUGAAAUUUAGUUAAUAGUAAUGUGCCAAUGUUGGUUUCUUAGUUGUGACAGAUGUAUAUAGUAUUGUAAGAUGUUAACAAUCGGAGAAAUUGGAUGGGGG